rnacentral:rRNA from 1 species
GACGGAGGAUGCAAGUGUCGUCCGGAAUCAGUGGGCGUAAAGCGUCGGUAGGUGGUUUAAUAAGUCAACUGUUAAAUCUUGAAGCUCAACUUCAAAUUCGGAGUCGAGACUAUUAGACUAGAGUAUAGUAGGGGUAAAGGGAAUUUCCAGUGGAGCGGUGAAAUGCGUAGAGAUUGGAAAGAACACCGAUGGCGAAGGCACUUUACUGGGCUAUUACUGACACCCAGAGACGAAAGCUAGGCUACCAAAUGGG